UCCCCCACGCGCAGUACCGUCCGCCUCCGCUAGCCCCGUCGCAAAGCAUCCGCGCUCAUCUCCGUCGGGGGUAGCAGCAAAGACCAACGGAGUGAAGCAUCAACUCGGAGUGGAGAAUGCAGCCCGGGCCGGUGUACGGCGGCACCGCCGACGCUCCGUUUUGCGCGCGGCGGAAGAUAGGGGCGGGAUGAGCGAGAUAACUCGAUUCAGGCAGGGUGGACUCUGUCCGAGGCGGAGGAGUUCAAUCCGAUGAUGUGAAAGGAGCUCGAUUUGCUGAUCUCCCCGGCAAGGUUCGAUUUGAUGGCUCGCCGUUGCCGGCGUCAAUCUUCACCUCCAGUGAAAUGGGAUUCGCUAGUUGCAAAGAAAUCUAACUGCAGUUGAGAUGUCAGAAAUUUUGCUGGUGACUGGUUGAUUUUUCUGCAAAGGGGCAUCUGUUGCCUAUAAUAAAGUUUCCAUUACAAUUUGCAAGCUGUCACAAACUUCUGAUAAACUCUAUCUGCGGGUGCCAGGAUGCAUGGGAAUUUUGGAGGCAGUAGCAUGGAAAUCUAAAAAUCCCUCCACUAUUUUCUCGAAAAAAUGCCUCUGUACUGUCGGAGUAGAGGUACUUGUUUUGCUGUCAGAUACAAAUGGCUGCUUCACUUCAGUUAGUCUUCUUGUCAAGUAUUUAUGUCCAAAGAUCCAUAUUUUCAUGCUAGAACAGGUACAACGAAAAGGCUAUGCAAAAGACCCUUCUCUUGUUGUUCAUAUAAUUCUACGUAGCUCUCCUUUGAUGGUUAGUGCGAGAGUAUUUAUGUCAAAGAUCCAUAUUUUCAUGCUAGAACAGGUAAGCUAUGUAAAAGACCCUUCUGUUGUUGUUCUGUUGUUGUUCAUGUAAUUCUACGUAGCUCUCCUUUGAUGGUUAGUGCGAGAGGAGGAUAGAAAUGCUGAGGAAUGGCAUUGUAUAAACCUUUUGAUAGAUAUUGACCAAUCACUUUGACGGA